UUCGCAAUGCCCGAAAGGGUGACGAAGCGACGCCGCGUGCGGGAGGAAGGCCUUCGGGUUGUAAACCGCUGUCGGGAGUUAAGAAAUGCAAGAAUGUUAAUAGCGUUCUUGCUUGACUAAGGCUCCGGAGGAAGCCACGGCUAACUCUGUGCCAGCAGCCGCGGUAAUACAGAGGCGGCAAGCGUUGUUCGGAAUUAUUGGGCGUAAAGAGCACGUAGGCGGCUGUGUAAGUCGGUUGUGAAAGCCUUCCGCUCAACGGAAGAACGGCAUCCGAUACUGCAUAGCUUGAGUGUGGGAGGGGAGAGUGGAACUUCUGGUGGAGCGGUGAAAUGCGUAGAUAUCAGAAGGAACACCGGCGGCGAAGGCGACUCUCUGGUCCAUAACUGACGCUGAGUGUGCGAAAGCUAGGGGAGCAAACGGGAUUAGAUACCCCGGUAGUCCUAGCCGUAAACGAUGGGCACUAAGUAGAGGGGUUUU
rnacentral:rRNA from 1 species